rnacentral:misc_RNA from 1 species
AGUCGUAACAAGGUUUCCGUAGGUGAACCUGCGGAAGGAUCAUUACAGAAUGAAAGUGCUUAACUGCAUUUUUUUUACACAUGUGUUUUUCUUUUUUUUUGAAAACUUUGCUUUGGUGGGCCCAUGGCCUGCCAGAGAUUAAACUCAACCAAAUUUUUAUUUAAGUCAACUGAUUAACUAAUAGUCAAAACUUUCAACAACGGAUCUCUUGGUUCUCGCAUCGAUGAAGAACGCAGCGAAAUGCGAUAAGUAAUAUGAAUUGCAGAUAUUCGUGAAUCAUCGAAUCUUUGAACGCACAUUGCGCCCUUUGGUAUUCCAAAGGGCAUGCCUGUUUGAGCGUCAUUUCUCCCUCAAACCUUCGGGUUUGGUGUUGAGCGAUACGCUGGGUUUGCUUGAAAGAAAGGCGGAGUAUAAACUAAUGGAUAGGUUUUUUUUCCACUCAUUGGUACAAACUCCAAAAUUCUUCCAAAUUCGACCUCAAAUCAGGUAGGACUACCCGCUGAACUUAAGCAUAUCAAUAA